rnacentral:rRNA from 1 species
ACUCAAAUGAAUUGACGGGGGCCCGCACAAGCGGUGGAGUAUGUGGUUUAAUUCGACGCAACGCGAAGAACCUUACCAGGCCUUGACAUGGGAAGUUUGAGUCACAGAGACGUGACUCUUCAGUUCGGCUGGCUUCCACACAGGUGCUGCAUGGCUGUCGUCAGCUCGUGUCGUGAGAUGUUGGGUUAAGUCCCGCAACGAGCGCAACCCCCAUCUUUAGUUGCCACCAGGUUAUGCUGGGCACUCUAAAGAAACCGCCGGUGACAAGCCGGAGGAAGGCGGGGAUGACGUCAAGUCCUCAUGGCCCUUACGGCCUGGGCUACACACGUACUACAAUGGUGGUGACAGUGGGUCGCGAAACCGCGAGGUUCAGCUAAUCCCAAAAAGCCAUCUCAGUUCAGAUUGCACUCUGCAACUCGGGUGCAUGAAGUUGGAAUCGCUAGUAAUCGUGGAUCAGCACGCCACGGUGAAUACGUUCCCGGGCCUUGCACACACCGCCCGU